rnacentral:rRNA from 1 species
UACGUAGGGGGCAAGCGUUGUCCGGAUUUACUGGGCGUAAAGAGCGUGUAGGCGCCACGCAGGUCCGUUGUGAAAACUGGAGGCUCAACCUCCAGCUGUCGACGGAAACCGUGUGGCUAGAGUCCGGAAGAGGAGAGUGGAAUUCCUGGUGUAGCGGUGAAAUGCGCAGAUAUCAGGAAGAACACCAAUGGCGAAGGCAGCUCUCUGGGACGGUACUGACGCUGAGACGCGAAAGCGUGGGGAGCGAACAGG